GAAUGAAGGAAGCAUGAUCAUGUGCACGGACAUGGAGUUCACGUGUCAACAUGUCUACUCCCUCUUAUGCUUUAUUGGCUUUAACUUUGGGCCUGGUUGCAACCCAUAUCU